AUGCACGGAAAAGCAGCAGCAGCAGCAAGAAAGAAAGGAGACAGACGAACGCCAUGAAAAGAUCCCUCUCAAUGCACGAUUACGUCAUAAUGUUUCACUGAUUUCAGAAUCCUUGUAGUUCUCAAGAAGAAACCCUUAUUGCAGAUUCUUAGCAGAUUUCAUGUGAUCAAUAUUCAUUGACAUCCAGAACUAGACUAAGGCCAUCUUUUAGUUGAGUUCAGAACAUGGGGGAGGAUUGAUCCCAUGAGCUUAGAAGAUGGCAGAAAAAGUUUCAACUGUUGUAGGACGUGGUUGGGGACAGUAUUAAUUGACGUGCUUGUUUGGAUGGUGUGAAACAACAAAUAGGAUUAUAGGUGCAUGUGAGUGACCAGGUCCUCACCAUGUUAACAGGGAAGACACUUCAAGUGACGAUGUCAAUAUUUUUGGACAGCCUGCUGGGUUGCUGAUGUAACAGUUUGAAGUUGCACCUGGCAAGAAUCAACAUAGACUUCUCUGGAUUGAGACUUCUGGUGAAGAAUCUCGUCAUUUAAUCUCUUAUCUCUGCAAUUGCUUGUGGCUUGAAGUGAACCUGUUUGAAUAGGAUACAGCUUUCUAGGUCGAGAGAUUUAUUGAACUAUGUUUUUAGCUGGGGUCUUUGAGGAUUGUUUUUACACGCGUUUAUUAGCUUAAUUUUUCUUCUAAUGAUAUGUGGAUGAGGUGGUCAAAUAUUAGUGACCAUGAAUUAGGAUGCUUUGUUUUCAGCAUUAAUUUGUCAUGACUCUUUCAAAGUGAUCAUCAUUUCCAAAAUGAGUAAUUAACUUCUAAACAACUUCUUUUGGACUUUGACCAACAGAAAUUCAGUUAGAAGAGAUCAACUAGACUAAUCAUGUGAGCAUUUUUUUAAAUAAAAAAAAUAACUGAUAUUUUGUUCAGGCUCAAUCCAGCUCUGGUCAAAAUUAUUUCUUUCGUGAGAUAUCCCUUAAAAAAGGGGUUAUCCUUGUAGACUAUUAUGUCUAGGAGGAUAGAAUGUAAAUCAUUAAUAGCUUGUAUUCUUGACUUUCAAGAGAUAAACUUAGACUCACUACAUUGCCAAAAUGAGUGGUGUUAAUGACAAUAAGCAUGAGAGGGUGCUUCCGUAUUACUAAUUGCUAAGACCAACCCAAUAGAAGACCUAAAUUCAAAAAUGUCGUUAUACAUUGCUUAUAAGGAAUAAAAUGUGAGCUCAUUUGGUAGUGUUAUUAUUACCUUAUCCACUUUGUAAUAGUGUAAGAUUACUUGAACAGUAAGUAGGACAUAAUAUAGCUCCAAUUAGAGAAUCUAAUAAAAUUCUAUAACUUGAGCUACCCCUGGUGAGAAUUUUCCCGUUGCCCAUUGUUAUUCAAUUGAAUCUGUGGAUGCUUCUAAGUUUUCUAAACUUGAUUUCUAUCUAGUCUUACGUAGUGUAGAUUGCUAAGGACCAAUGACGCCCAAGGCCCA